ACGCCCGACACCUACGGGGGGCAGCAGUAGGGAAUCUUCCACAAUGGGCGCAAGCCUGAUGGAGCAACACCGCGUGAGUGAAGAAGGGUUUCGGCUCGUAAAGCUCUGUUGUUGGAGAAGAACGUGCGUGAGAGUAACUGUUCACGCAGUGACGGUAUCCAACCAGAAAGUCACGGCUAACUACGUGCCAGCAGCCGCGGUAAUCUGAGCGGGCUGGCAAGGC
rnacentral:rRNA from 1 species